CCAGACUCCUACGGGAGGCAGCAGUGGGGAAUAUUGGGCAAUGGAGGAAACUCUUACCCAGCAAUGCCGCGUGAAUGAAGAAGGUCUUCGGAUUGUAAAGUUCUUUAAUUGGGGACGAAAAAAAUGACGGUACCCAAGGAAUAAGCCCCGGCUAACUACGUGCCAGCAGCCGCGGUAAUACAUAGGGAGCAAGCGUUAUCCGGAUUUAUUGGGUGUAAAGGGUGCGUAGACGGGAAAUUAAGUUAGUUGUGAAAUCCCUCGGCUUAACUGAGGAACUGCAACUAAAACUGAUUUUCUUGAGUACUGGAGAGGAAAGUGGAAUUCCUAGUGUAGCGGUGAAAUGCGUAGAUAUUAGGAGGAACACCAGUGGCGAAGGCGACUUUCUGGACAGUAACUGACGUUGAGGCACGAAAGUGUGGGGAGCAAACAGGAUUAGAUACCCUCGUAAA
rnacentral:rRNA from 1 species